rnacentral:other from 1 species
AGGCAGCCAUGCCCUACAGCAACUUCUGGCUGUCUGCUUCCCUGCCUGCUGAUCCAGAGCAAGUGGCCAACAGCCAUGGCAAGAUGAAGCUGUCUCUGGUGGCUGCGGUGCUGCUG